UACGAAGGGUGCAAGCGUUACUCGGAAUUACUGGGCGUAAAGCGUGCGUAGGCGGGUUGUUAAGUCCGUUGUGAAAGCCCUGGGCUCAACCUGGGAAUUGCAGUGGAUACUGGCGAGCUAGAGUGCGGUAGAGGAUGGUGGAAUUCCCGGUGUAGCGGUGAAAUGCGUAGAGAUCGGGAGGAACACCCGUGGCGAAGGCGGCCAUCUGGACCAGCACUGACGCUGAGGCACGAAAGCGUGGGGAGCAAACAGG
rnacentral:rRNA from 1 species